rnacentral:rRNA from 1 species
AACGAACGCUGGCGGCAUGCCUAACACAUGCAAGUCGAACGAGACCUUCGGGUCUAGUGGCGCACGGGUGCGUAACACGUGGGAAUUUGCCUCGGGGUAUGGAAUAACUCAGGGAAACUUGAGCUAAUACCAUAUAAUGUCUUCGGACCAAAGAUUUAUCGCCCUGAGAUAAGCCCGCGUAGGAUUAGCUAGUUGGUGAGGUAAAGGCUCACCAAGGCGACGAUCCUUAGCUGGUCUGAGAGGAUGAUCAGCCACACUGGGACUGAGACACGGCCCAGACUCCUACGGGAGGCAGCAGUGGGGAAUCUUAGACAAUGGGGGGAAACCCUGAUCUAGCCAUGCCGCGUGAUCGAUGAA